rnacentral:rRNA from 1 species
GACGGGGGGGGGCAAGUGUUCUUCGGAAUGACUGGGCGUAAAGGGCACGUAGGCGGUGAAUCGGGUUGAAAGUGAAAAGUCGCCAAAAAAGUGGCGGAAUGCUCUCGAAACCAAUUCACUUGAGUGAGACAGAGGAGAGUGGAAUUUCGUGUGUAGGGGUGAAAUCCGUAAAUAUACGAAGGAACGCCAAAAGCGAAGGACAGCUCUCUGGGUCCCUACCCGACGCUGGGGUGCGAAAGCAUGGGGAGCGAACAGG